rnacentral:misc_RNA from 1 species
GAUGAAGAACGCAGCAAAAUGCGAUAAGUAAUGUGAAUUGCAGAAUUCAGUGAAUCAUCGAAUCUUUGAACGCACAUUGCGCCCGCUGGUAUUCCGGCGGGCAUGCCUGUUCGAGCGUCAUUUCAACCCUCAAACCCCCGGGUUUGGUGUUGGGGAUCGGCUCUGCCUCACGGCGGUGCCGCCCCCGAAAUACAUUGGCGGUCUCGCUGCAGCCUCCAUUGCGUAGUAGCUAACACCUCGCAACUGGAACGCGGCGCGGCCAUGCCGUAAAACCCCAACUUCUGAAUGUUGACCUCGGAUCAGGUAGGAAUACCCGCUGAACUUAAGCAUAUCAAUAAGCGGAGA